AUUGAACGCUGGCGGCAUGCUUUACACAUGCAAGUCGAACGGUAACAGGCCGCAAGGUGCUGACGAGUGGCGAACGGGUGAGUAAUGCAUCGGAACGUGCCCAGUCGUGGGGGAUAACGCAGCAAAAGCUGCGCUAAUACCGCAUACGAUCUAUGGAUGAAAGUGGGGGACCGUAAGGCCUCGCGCGAUUGGAGCGGCCGAUGUCAGAUUAGGUAGUUGGUGGGGUAAAGGCUCACCAAGCCAACGAUCUGUAGCUGGUCUGAGAGGACGACCAGCCACACUGGGACUGAGACACGGCCCAGACUCCUACGGGAGGCAGCAGUGGGGAAUUUUGGACAAUGGGCGCAAGCCUGAUUCAGCAAUGCCGCGUGCAGGAAGAAGGCCUUCGGGUUGUAAACUGCUUUUGUACGGAACGAAACGGCUCUCUCUAAUACAGGGGGCUAAUGACGGUACCGUAAGAAUAAGCACCGGCUAACUACGUGCCAGCCGCCGCCGUAAAAC
rnacentral:rRNA from 1 species